rnacentral:rRNA from 1 species
UACAGAGGGUGCGAGCGUUAAUCGGAAUUACUGGGCGUAAAGCGUGCGUAGACGGUUAGAUAAGUCGGAUGUGAAAGCCCCGGGCUCAACCUGGGAAUUGCAUUCGAGACUGCCUAGCUAGGAUGCGGAAGAGGGAAGCGGAAUUUCCGGUGUAGCGGUGAAAUGCGUAGAUAUCUGAAGGAACACCAGUGGCGAAAGCGGCCUCCUGGUCCAGUACCGACGUUCAGGCACGAAAGCGUGGGGAGCAAACAGG